rnacentral:rRNA from 1 species
UACGUAGGGGGCAAGCGUUGUCCGGAUUUAUUGGGCGUAAAGAGCGUGUAGGCGGCCAGGUAGGUCCGUUGUGAAAACUGGAGGCUUAACCUCCAGCUGUCGAUGGAAACCAUCUGGCUAGAGUCCGGAAGAGGAGAGUGGAAUUCCUGGUGUAGCGGUGAAAUGCGCAGAUAUCAGGAAGAACACCGGUGGCGAAGGCGGCAUCCUGGACCGAUACUGACGCUGAGGAGCGAAAGCCAGGGGAGCAAACGGG